rnacentral:lncRNA from 1 species
AAAAGAAAUAUAAGAAGGUCGUCUCAGAUGAUGCCCUGAUGCACUGGUUAGAUCAGUAUAAUUCAUCUGCAGAUACUUGUACUCAUGCUUAUUGGGCGCGGCAAUUGCAAAAAAGCAAGCUUGGGGCUAGUUUGUGAAAUAGGUCUUCGUUGCCGUACAUAUUAUGUAUUAUGUGGUUCAGUGCUGAGUGUCUGGACAAAAGUUGAGGGUGUUCUAGCAUCUGUCAGUGGCACAAACGUGAAGAUGCAGAUCGUGCGGCUAAGAACGGAAGAUGGGCAACGGAUUGUAGGUUUGAUCAUUCCGGCAAAUUGUGUGUCUCCUCUUGUAAAUCUCCUAUCAACUUCAGACCAGUCUCAACAGCUUGCGGUCCAACAGAAACAGCUAUGGCAACAGCAUCACCCUCAGAGCAUCACCAACUUGAGCAACGCAUGAAGAACAGACAGGUUUCAACAUGGAUGGAUCUGAAAUGCUGUUGAAGCAUAUCAUUUGCAUAAAAAUCAGGGACAGUUUCCAAAGAAUUAUAUAUUUUUUUCAGUUGUGCUCUCUAGUUAGUUUUUUUGGGAGUAAGGACAAACCUGGAAUAGAUAGCAAAACUGAAAAUCAGCAGUGCUGAUGGUGGUACAUAUGUCUUUCCUUUAGCUUCUCCCCUGAUAAUUCCCAUCUGCUUUUACUUUGGGUGAGCAGAGGGGGAUGUGUGCGUGCGUGUGUGUCAGUCUGUUUGUGAGUAUGUUAAAGGCUACAGACCACAGUUGGUUUAAAAUGCUUGGAACUUCCCAAACUGGCUUUACUUUAUGUUUAUACAGUGCUCAGGGUUAACGCAGUACAUCCAUGCCAUUGCUGUGGGAGGUAUCCCCGGAUGCAUGUGUUUUGAGUCUAUAAAUAUAGAAAAUAUAUAUUGGUUUCUUUCUCCAACUUAGUAGGUUUAUUAAAGCAUGAAAUGAAAGGUUGCAUAUCAUGCAUUCAGGUUAUUUUCUAAUUUUUGUUCUGACAGUGCAUGUCUUUGGAAGCAUGCUGAAACAAGAUUAACACAGGAGUCGAGUAACAGAGAGAAAUAUUUGUUAGAUGUACAGCAUUGGUUAUUGCAUUUUUAUAGUGUUUAUACCUGGGUAUUGCUUCAAACCCUGCAGACCCCUCCUUCCCCUUCUCCCUGCCCUGGGUUUCUGGUCAAGGUAAU